AUGUUACUCCCUCUAUUCGGAAUUACUUGUCGCAGAAAUGGAUGUAUCUAGACGUAUUUUAGUUCUAAAUACAUCCAUUUUUGAGACAAGUAAUUCCGAACAGAGGGAGUAUUAG
rfam:Triticum aestivum genome assembly, contig: Triticum_aestivum_CS42_TGACv1_scaffold_344111_4DL